GGUUCUGGCAUCGAUGAAGAACGCAGCGAAAUGCGAUAAGUAGUGUGAAUUGCAGAAUUCAGUGAAUCAUCGAAUCUUUGAACGCACAUUGCGCCCCUUGGUAUUCCAUGGGGCAUGCCUGUUCGAGCGUCAUUUGUACCUUCAAGCUCUGCUUGGUGUU
rnacentral:rRNA from 1 species